UACGGAGGAUGCAAGCGUUAUCCGGAAUGAUUGGGCGUAAAGCGUCCGUAGGUGGCUGUGUAAGUCUGCUGUUAAAGAGUGAGGCUCAACCUCAUAAAAGCAGUGGAAACUACACGGCUAGAGUGCGUUCGGGGCAGAGGGAAUUCCUGGUGUAGCGGUGAAAUGCGUAGAUAUCAGGAAGAACACCGGUGGCGAAAGCGCUCUGCUAGGCCGCAACUGACACUGAGGGACGAAAGCUAGGGGAGCGAAUGGG
rnacentral:rRNA from 1 species